ensembl:lncRNA
AUGUUCCAUGUUAGAGAGCAAUUUGGAAUCUGCAAAAUUAAUUUCGUGUCCUGUUUCUUUCAUGUGUUGGAAAAGAGAGGAAGUUUUUUCUUCUUUUUUGACGGCAUUCUUGUGUUCUGCGAUACGUGCAUUUAUUCGUCUGUUUGUUUGUCCAAUGUACGUGGCUGGGCAGACUUUGCAGGGUAUUUCAUAGACCCCUUGGUUUUCCAACUGGAUUUUAUCCUUGGGGUCGCCCCGAGACGCAUCCCCACGGAAAACAUCAUAUGCGGAGUCGAAGCUAGCCUAACCAAAAUCAACCCAGAUGAAGCCAAUAAAAUCAGACUUGAAGUCACCAACAUCCUCUGCUCCAGCAAACCACCCAGAAGCAAUUUACACAAAGAAGAACAGAAAGCACUCACCAACCUGAGGAAAGACAACAACAUAAUCAUUCUCCCAGCAGACAAAGGUAAUGCCACUGUUGUGAUGAACACAUCGGACUACCAAGCAAAACUAUCAAAUCUACUCCAAGACCCUACCUACCAACCUAUAAAAACAGAUCCCACCACCUAUCUGGAAAAAACCACCAAAUCCAAAAUAAAAGCCUCUCCUAUCAGUGAAGAAAUCCAGCUAAGAAUCAUCCCCAGAGAAAAAUCAUCCAGAUGCCCCAAACUCUACGGCCUCCCCAAGAUACACAAAGAAGGAACACCACUCAGACCAAUAGUCAGCUCCAUAGGCUCACCUCUACAAAAUCUCGCUAAAUUUCUCGCUAAGCAACUUCAGCCCUAUGCAGAAUCCAUCCCUUCACACGUUACAAACUCCUUCCAGUUCAUAGAAACAAUAAAGAAGCAAAACCUACAUCCCAAUGACCUACUUGUGAGCUUCGAUGUUGUAUCUCUCUUCACACAAGUGCCCAUUAAUGAAGCCUUGACAGCCAUUCAAAACAAAUACAAUCCCCCCGAAUACAUCCUGGACCUUACCAACCACUGCCUAACCAACACGUACUUCAUCCACAAUGGACAAAGAUACAAACAGAUAGAAGGAGCACCUAUGGGAUCACCACUCUCACCGGUCAUCGCAAACCUGUACAUGGAACACUUUGAAACCAAUGCUUUAGACAAGUCAGAACACAAACCCAAACUUUGGCUCAGAUAUGUUGACGACACCUUUGUAAUUUGGCCACACGGGAAGGAAAAACUAGAUAGCUUCCUCACACAUCUCAACAGCCUACACCCCAAAAUACAAUUCACUAUGGAAAUAGAAGCCAACAACCAACUUCCCUUCCUUGACGUCCUAAUCUACAAAAAACCUGAUGGCUCCCUAGGACACACUAUCUACCGGAAAAAAACACACACCAACCGCUACUUACAUGCACAAUCACACCACCACCCUGCACAAAUAAACUCCGUAGCCAAGACUCUCAUCUCCAGAACCAAACGCCUGGCUGACAAAGACCACUUGACAACUGAGUUACAGAAUCUCUCCAAUGUGUUAAUCGCCAAUGGAUACCAGCAAAACAGGGUUACGAAGCUAAUGCAAAAAGAAACACCCCCCAAAAACCAAGACACAGAAGAAAACAAUGGCAUGGCCCUCCUUCCUUAUAUCAAGGGCACUACAGAUAAAAUUAGCAAAAUCCUCCAUAAACACAAUAUCAAAACAGCCUUUUACACCAACCAAAAAAUAGCCAAUAUCCUCAGAAACCCCAAGGAUAAAAUCCAGUUGGAAAACCAAGGGGUCUAUGAAAUACCCUGCAAAGUCUGCCCAGCCACGUACAUUGGACAAACAAACAGACGAAUAAAUGCACGUAUCGCAGAACACAAGAAUGCCGUCAAAAAAGAAGAAAAAACUUCCUCUCUUUUCCAACACAUGAAAGAAACAGGACACGAAAUUAAUUUUGCAGAUUCCAAAUUGCUCUCUAACAUGGAACAUCACCACAAGAGAAUAAUCAUGGAAGCCAUCGAGAUAGAGAAACACCCUCACAACAUGAACAAGCGUGACGACACAUCCCGCCUGCCAGACAUCUGGAAAUUAGCCCUCCCCACAAAAACCGACACCAGAUCCAGAGGCACACAGAACGCCAUCACCAAUCAACCACACCAGACCCAAACCCAGACCCUCUCCACAGAUAAAUUACAGACACCAUACAGUAGCCAAACCAUGGUGGUACCUCCGGAUGCUGCACCCCCCUGCAAUCCCUACACAGAUCUGGCUGGCACAGGACACAAAACCACAGCUCGCCCCUAUACACGAAGCCAAGCCAGAGCCAAGUUCAAGCCAAGUUCAAGAGGUCAAGACACGAAGGCUUUAGCAACUAAUCCACACCUAAUGACCCACCUAAGUGGUACUCAGGAUAUCACUCAAGAAAUCACUCAAGAUAUCCCUCAAGUAAUUAAGGAACAAAAGAAGAAAAGGCACACUAGCCUGGGAACUUCCUCUCUGCCCAGAACAUUGGAGGCUAUACACCACACCCCCUCAACAGUAUUUAUAGGAACUCAAACACUG